rnacentral:rRNA from 1 species
GAAUGAGUGGCGAACGGGUGAGUAAACGCCGAGUAAACCUGCCUUGUGGCGGGGGAUAACUAUUGAAACGAAUAGUUAUUCCCGCAUAACCAGCUUUUUGACACAUGUUAGAAGCUUAAAAGAUGCAAUUGCAUCACUACGAGAUGGACCUGCGUUGUUAUUAGCUUAGUAGGUAGGGUAACGGCCUACCUAGGCGACGAUACAUAGCCGACCUGAGAGGGUGAUCGGCCACAUUGGGACUGAGACACGGCCCAGACUCCUACGGGAGGCAGCAGUGGGGAAUAUUGCACAAUGGAGGGAACUCUGAUGCAGCGACGCCGCGUGAGCGAAGAAGGAAUUCGUUUCGUAAAGCUCUGUCCUAUGGGAAGAUAAUGACGGUACCAUAGAAGAAAGCCCCGGCUAACUACGUGCCAGCAGCCGCGGUAAUACGUAGGGGGCGAGCGUUGUCCGGAAUUAUUGGGCGUAAAGGGUUCGUAGGCGGUAAUACAUGUCAGAUGUGAAAUCUUGUGGCUUAACCACAUCAAGCAUCUGAAACUGUAUAACUUGAGUGGAGGAGAGGUAAGUGGAAUUCCUAGUGUAGCGGUGAAAUGCGUAGAUAUUAGGAAGAAUACCAGUAGCGAAGGCGACUUACUGGCCUCUAACUGACGCUGAUGAACGAAAGCGUGGGUAGCAAACAGGAUUAGAUACCCUGGUAGUCCACGCCGUAAACGAUGAGUGCUAGGUGUCGGGAGUCAAAUCUCGGUGCCGUAGU